rnacentral:rRNA from 1 species
AAUUUUGGACAAUGGGGGAAACCCUGAUCCAGCCAUCCCGCGUGUAUGAUGAAGGCCUNCGGGUUNCNAAGUACUUUUGGCAGAGNAGAAAAGGUAUCCCCUAAUACGGGAUACUGCUGACGGUAUCUGCAGAAUAAGCACCGGCUAACUACGUGCCAGCAGCCGCGGUAAUACGUAGGGUGCAAGAGUUAAUCGGAAUUACUGGGCGUAAAGCAGGUGUAGGCGGUUCGGAAAGAAAGUGGUGGAAUCCCAUGGGUCACCCUUGGAACUGCAUUUUUAGCUGCCGAGCUAGAGUCUGGCAGAGGGGGGUAGAAUUCCACGUGUAGCAGUGAAAUGCGUAGAUAUGUGGAGGAAUACCGAUGGCGAAGGCAGCCCCCUGGGAUAAUACUGACGCUCAGACACGAAAGCGUGGGGAGCAAACAGG